rnacentral:rRNA from 1 species
AUACGGAAGGUGCAAGCGUUAAUCGGAAUCACUGGGCGUAAAGCGCUCGUAGGUGGCUUUGUAAGUCAGGUGUGAAAGCCCACGGCUCAACCUCGGAACUGCCUUUGAUACUGGGUGUCUAGAGUGUGGAAGAGGUAAGUGGAAUUCCGAGUGUAGAGGUGAAAUUCGUAGAUAUUCGGAGGAACACCAGUGGCGAAGGCGGCUUACUGGUCCAUUACUGACGCUGAGGUGCGAAAGCGUGGGGAGC